rnacentral:rRNA from 1 species
UUAGAGUUUGAUCCAUGGCUCAGGACGAACGCUGGCGGCGUGCUUAACACAUGCAAGUCGAACGGAAAGGCCCUUCGGGGUACUCGAGUGGCGAACGGGUGAGUAACACGUGGGUGAUCUGCCCUGCACUUUGGGAUAAGCCUGGGAAACUGGGUCUAAUACCGAAUACACCCUUCUGGCUGCAUGGUCUGGUUGGGGAAAGCUUUUGCGGUGUGGGAUGGGCCCGCGGCCUAUCAGCUUGUUGGUGAGGUUACGGCUCACCAAGGCGACGACGGGUAGCCGGCCUGAGAGGGUGACCGGCCACACUGGGACUGAGAUACGGCCCAGACUCCUACGGGAGGCAGCAGUGGGGAAUAUUGCACAAUGGGCGCAAGCCUGAUGCAGCGACGCCGCGUGAGGGAUGACGGCCUUCGGGUUGUAAACCUCUUUCGCCAGGGACGAAGCGCAAGUGACGGUACCUGGAGAAGAA